rnacentral:rRNA from 1 species
AAAACAUCGCCUCCUGAUUACCCAUAUGAGGUCCAGCCUGCCCAGUGACAUGAUUAAACGGCCGCGGUACUCUGACCGUGCGAAGGUAGCAUAAUCACUUGUUCUCUAAAUAAGGACUAGAAUGAACGACAUCACGAGGGCCUUACUGUCUCCUUUUUCCAAUCAGUGAAACUGAUCUCCCCGUGAAGAAGCGGGGAUCUCACUAUAAGACGAGAAGACCCCAUGGAGCUUUAAACCCAACAGACAAUCCUAACCUCCUUCUCCCCCAAAAGUUUUUAAAUAGUGUCUGCUGGUUUUAGGCUGGGGUGACCGCGGAGUAAAAAUUAUCCUCCAUGACGUAUGGGACUUCCCCCCAAUCCACGAGCUACUGCUCUAAGAAUCAUCAAAUUGACGACAAAUGAUCCAAUCUAUUGAUCAACGAACCAAGUUACCCUGGGGAUAACAGCGCAAUCCAUUUCAAGAGCUCCUAUCGACAAAUGGGUUUACGACCUCGAUGUUGGAUCAGGGUACCCAAGUGGUGCAGCCGCUACUAAUGGUUUGUUUGUUCAACAAUUAAAACCCUACGUGAUCU